ensembl:lncRNA
UGUGAAGCUUAAAGUCAUUGAUUAGUCACUUAAAUAGAUGUAAAUGACUAAGAUGGGUGCUGUGAUACUUCAACUAAAAGAGCACUGUGUUUACUGUUCCUUAGCAAAACAUCUUCACAAUGAUCACCAUUCACUGCCAUGCUUUACAGUGUCUGCCUUAAUAGGAGCGAGGGCCUGGCUUACUAUUGUCUGCCUGGGCUCUGAGGGUUUGUGUGUUUCUAUCUCAGUAAGAGGGACAAUUGGGAUAAACAGCUCACAGAUGGACAUUGAGUUGAUGAUUCGGUCAGUUUGGAUUAUGUAAGUGGAGAGAAGUCGCAACUAAACUGCAUAUGAGACAUCUGUAUGCUGUAGCGGUGGAGGUCCAAGGAGCCUAGAAAUAACUAAGUCAGAAAAAGACCCGAGGGGGGAUAGGAAGUGUGUGCAUCUCAAGAGGCUGGGUCGUAGCAGCGCUCUAAGGCUGUGCCCUUGCCCAGAACAAAAGAAAAAAAGAAAACGGCACCCUGCAAUAACUCUGCGGACUCCAAGCAAAUAGAAACUGAAGAAUGGAAGGCUCCAGAAUGUCUCUCCAUCUUCUCUUCUUCCUUCUGAUUGGACAAGCUUCACACACCAGCAUUACUCAGCCUCAGACCACUAAUGCCAUAUAUCCAACUGACAUAACCUCAAUUACCCAAGAGGAAAAUGACACCUCCAGCUCUCCCACAAAGGCCACCACGGGCUGCCUCAUCAAGCCCCAGUUGGGCUUCAUAGUGGUGACCUGCGCCGGGGGCCUGGUCCUGUUUCUGCUCGUCUCUACUGUGGUCCUGGCCUCCCAGGUGUGCAGUCUUAGGCGCCAAGCCCGUGCCCCUCGCCCCGCCCGCAGUAACGUGGACCUGGUGAGUGGCGCGGGCUACUGGGACACAGAGCACUCUGAGGGGGGCAUAGUGGGGCCCUGUGAUACCAGUGUCAUGUUGGAGGAGGUCCGUUUGGAUGGAGAAGAGGAUGAAGAGCAGGGGGAAGAAGAGGAGGAGGAAAGGGAGGAGGAGCAGGCAGAAGGGGUCAGAUGCCAAACAGGGGAUGCGAGAACAACUGGCGAAAUAGCCAUGCAGAUGCAGAGUUCCAGCUCCAGGGAUUUGUGUCUGGAAAUCCCCCAGGAUCUAGAGAACAUGCCCCUAGUGGUGUGAGUAGAGCAUUGCAUGCACUCCCUCUCCAGCCUCAGAGAGCCAUGGCCUGGCUCAGAGCUGAACUUCACUCAGGCAUAGAUAUCAACAGGCCAGAUCAGCUCCAGUCUUGUGCCUCAAGUCAAAACAAAGAGUAUUUGUUAUUUUUUUAAUAAGUACUCGAGCUAUAUGUAAUCAAUUUUAGGAGCUUUUACAUAUUUGCUUUGUAAACUGCAUUAAUCUGAUUUGGAAUGAUUUUGUCUCAAAUUUAUUUCUAUAGAGAACAUUUGAAUAGGCUGUUGGGAGCAGCAAGACAUUAAUUUGAAAUAAUGUGCUACGAACAGCACACUACUGCCAACUGCCCAAGUUAAUUAAGCUUACAGCUUACUACGAAGGUUCAGGAUCUUUGUACGGGGGGGGGGGGUCACUUAUAUUUUACAUUUGAGUCAUUUAGCAGACGCUCUUAUCCAGAGUGACUUACAGGAGCAACUAGGGUAAAUUACCUUGCUCAAGGGCAUAUUGACAAAUUAAAAACAGUGACCUUUCGGUUACUGGCCCAAAGCUCUUAACUGCCAAAUUCAAUCAUAUUAGCAGUACACUAUGCCAACUUCCCUUAAUGGCAGAGGUGUAACAAAGUGUAACAAAAAGGUAUUAAGCUUACGUAGAAAGUAUAUUUUGUUGAAGAUUGAAAUGAUAGAAACUCAACUCCAAUAUGUAAUAGAAUGGAAGCCCCCCCCCCAUCUCUAUUGACACUGUAGGCUAAAAGAUUCCUUCUCAGCAAACAAGCACUCAAACAUUGUCUACCAUAUAUAUAACUGAAUGUGGUGGCUUCUCCCCAAGACAUUAAAUGUCAAACAUUGUAUAAUAUAUGUUGUCCAAUCUAAACUGUCCUAUCUACCUGUAUUAAAAAAAUAUAAUAAUAAAACACACUCAAAUAUGCCAACAUGCUUGCUGGUCAGAUGUGAGUUCAGUUAAAAUGAUUACUUUCCACCAACUUGAUGUGAACUUCCUUUCCUUUAUCUGAAGUGAUUCCAUGCACAAAUACUAUACCAAGGGUAAACUUUGAACAUCUUGUUGCCAUCGGUGGCUGGGCACAGAGAUAGCAUUGGGCCUGCCAAGCCUACUUGUUACAUUAAUAAGUCUUCCCCUCAACCUUCACGUGUCAGUCGAGCAGUCACAGAACACCUAACUCAUUUGUUUCCACUCCUCUCUACUAAGGCUAACUUCUUUUCUCUUUUCUGUAAAAAUACAAUAUUUGUUUAAAUGCCACAACCCAAAUAAAUGGAGGUUUUGUGAACAGGUGUGAAUGAAUGGCAUUCUUGUUUUGAAUCGAUGGAGUAAGAACACAAGUGUUUAGACAACAGUUUCAGAA